AGAGAUCUUGAUGCAGACGCCCUUUUGGAUUUCUUUUUAAUAGUGUGUGACCCUUCACCUUUGAUCCCUUGACCUGCAUUACUUUGGACUACAGAUUAAAAUUGUAGUGAGCUGUUCACGUAGUGCCACUGGGCUCUGCUGGUGCCUGGCCUCUGGAGGAGUCUGAAGAUCACCUGAACACCCUCCUGCUGACCCUUUCCCAGGGACACUGGACUGCAUUUGGCUCUGCUCCCCUAUCUGGGGGUCCUGCUGACCUCCAGGGCUGAGCCUGAGUUGUCUCCUUCCCCCUUGAGUCCUCUGUGAGCCUUGAGGGAUUCAGCCCUGGCAGGUUCUACCUGGUUCAUGUAGUGAGGAUGCACCAUCAACACCAGAACCUGAUUCAGGAAACGGGUUUGAAUUGGCAUCCCUGCCUGAGAAAGCCAGAAUGUUGACAACAUCCACUCCUGAAACAAGUCUUAAUUUUGAAAUCUAUGCAAUAUCUUCUGCUGCUGGAGGCUUUUAUGUAUUAACCUUAACAGAAGGCUGAAGGGCUGAAAUGAAAUCCUUGGCAAACGUACAAGAUUCAGAGCGUUGCAUGUCUUGCAGUUCAGGUUUGCCUUGUCUGCUUUUCAGCUCUUCUAGACAUUGGAAAUUCCAGUUUGUGUUUAUUUUCUCUGGAUUCCUUCCCACAAGACAGAAGUGAAUUCAGCAUGGAUUAUUGGGGAGAGCCUUGGCUGGGAAUAAGGAUAAUUGCAGCCUCUGGCUGUGCCACAGUUUCACUGAUGAUUUCUUUUAAGUUACUCACCUGCACUGUAUCUGUUUCCUCAGCUGUAAAAUGUGGGUAAUUACCUCCAUUGUAAAAUGUUACAGGGUCUGCUGGUAAUUAUAUGAACGAAGUGCUAAUUACAGUGAUUAUCCCUUG